rnacentral:tRNA from 19 species
CGGGGCGUAGCGCAGGUGGCUAGCGCGCCUGCCUUGGGAGCAGGAGGUCGCUGGUUCAAGUCCAGUCGCCCCGACCA